ACAGCAGUAGCCGCGGGAAUACGGAGGGUGCAAGCGUUAAUCGGAAUUACUGGGCGUAAAGCGCACGCAGGCGGUUUGUUAAGUCAGAUGUGAAAUCCCCGGGCUCAACCUGGGAACUGCAUUUGAAACUGGCAAGCUAGAGUCUCGUAGAGGGGGGUAGAAUUCCAGGUGUAGCGGUGAAAUGCGUAGAGAUCUGGAGGAAUACCGGUGGCGAAGGCGGCCCCCUGGACGAAGACUGACGCUCAGGUGCGAAAGCGUGGGGAGCAAACAGGAUUAGAUACCCCAGUAGUCCCUGUCUCUUAUAC
rnacentral:rRNA from 1 species